rnacentral:ncRNA from 2 species
UACGAAGGGUGCAAACGUUGCUCGGAAUCAUUGGGCGUAAAGCGCACGUAGGCGGCCUUGUAAGUCGGACGUGAAAUCCCACGGCUCAACCGUGGAAGUGCAUCCGAAACUGCAAGGCUCGAGUAUGGAAGAGGGUCGCAGAAUUCCCGGUGUAGAGGUGAAAUUCGUAGAUAUCGGGAGGAAUACCAGUGGCGAAGGCGGCGACCUGGGCCAAUACUGACGCUGAGGUGCGAAAGCGUGGGGAGCAAACAGG